rnacentral:rRNA from 1 species
AGUGAACGCUGGCGGUAGGCCUUACACAUGCAAGUCGAACGGCAGCACAGUAAGCGCUUGCUCUUACGAGUGGCGAGUGGCGGACGGGUGCGGAAUACAUCGGAAUCUACUUUUUCGUGGGGGAUAACGUAGGGCCACUUACGCUCAUACCGCAUACGCCCUACGGGUGAAAGCCGCGGAUCUUCGGACCUUGCGCUAUUGAAUGAGCCGAUGUCGGAUUAGCUAGUUGGCGGGGUAAAGGCCCACCAAGGCGACGAUCCGUAGCUGGUCUGAGAGGAUGAGCAGCCACACUGGAACUGAGACACGGUCCAGACUCCUACGGGAGGCAGCAGUGGGGAAUAUUGGACAAUGGGCGCAAGCCUGAUCCAGCCAUACCGCGUGGGGGAAGAAGGCCCUCGGGUUGUAAAGCGCUUUUGUUAGGGAAGAAAAGCAGCAGGUUAAUACCCCGCUGUUCUGACGGUACCCAAAGAAUAAGCACCGGCUAACUUCGUG